UACGGAGGGUGCAAGCGUUAAUCGGAAUUACUGGGCGUAAAGCGUGCGCAGGCGGUUUUGUUAAGUCCGUUGUGAAAGCCCCGAGCUCAACUUGGGAAUUGCAGUGGAUACUGGCAGGCUGGAGUACGGUAGAGGAAGGUGGAAUUCCCGGUGUAGCAGUGAAAUGCGUAGAUAUCGGGAGGAACACCAGUGGCGAAGGCGGCCUUCUGAACCAGUACUGACGCUCAUGCACGAAAGCGUGGGGAGCAAACAGG
rnacentral:rRNA from 1 species